rnacentral:rRNA from 1 species
GGGUUGUCAUGCCAAUGGCACUGCCCGGUAGCUAAAUGCGGAAGAGAUAAGUGCUGAAAGCAUCUAAGCACGAAACUUGCCCCGAGAUGAGUUCUCCCUGAGACUAUAAGUCUCCUGAAGGAACGUUGAAGACGACGACGUUGAUAGGCCGGGUGUGUAAGCGCAGCGAUGCGUUGAGCUAACCGGUACUAAUGAACCGUGAGGCUUAACCUUACAACGCCGAUG